AAAGCAGGCUGUUCUAUCGCAGCGAAAGUUGAGGAAAGUCCGGGCAACGCAGGGCGCCAUGCUUCCUAACGGGAAGUUGUUGCGAGGCAGAUUAGCGUAACAGAGAAUAACCGCCGGUUUCGCGAUCGGUAAGGGUGAAAAGGCAGGGUAAGAGCCUACCGGUUCCGAUGGUAACACCGGAAGCCGUACGCAUCAUGGGUUGUAAGGCUAUAUAUACCGUCGUUUGAGAGUAGCCCGCUCGAUUGACGGGGGGUAAGCCGCAUGACUGCGGUAGCGAUGCCGCAGCAAGAUAAAUGAUAGAACCCGGGAAACCGGUGACAGAACCCGGCUUACAAGCCUGCUUUUUUU
rnacentral:RNase_P_RNA from 1 species